rnacentral:rRNA from 1 species
GACGAACGCUGGCGGCGUGCUUAACACAUGCAAGUCGAACGGAAAGGCCCUGCUUUUGUGGGGUGCUCGAGUGGCGAACGGGUGAGUAACACGUGAGUAACCUGCCCUUGACUUUGGGAUAACUUCAGGAAACUGGGGCUAAUACCGGAUAGGAGCUCGUGCUGCAUGUGGGGGGUGGAAAGUUUCGGCGGUUGGGGAUGGACUCGCGGCUUAUCAGCUUGUUGGUGGGGUAGUGGCUUACCAAGGCUUUGACGGGUAGGCGGCCUGAGAGGGUGACCGGCCACAUUGGGACUGAGAUACGGCCCAGACUCCUACGGGAGGCAGCAGUGGGGAAUAUUGCACAAUGGGCGGAAGCCUGAUGCAGCAACGCCGCGUGCGGGAUGACGGCCUUCGGGUUGUAAACCGCUUUCGCCUGUGACGAAGCGUGAGUGACGGUAAUGGGUAAAGAAGCACCGGCUAACUACGUG